rnacentral:misc_RNA from 1 species
UCUUGAUAUGUGCUUCUUUAGCACCACAGGCUUCAGCAAGUGCCUUGAUAAUGGAAGCAUCACCAAUACCAAGCUCCAUCCCAUCGUGUGCAGCUGCAAUCUUAUUAGCAGCAAGGUACACAACAGGCAACAAAUCCUCAGGCGUCGUCUCAAUCACAGUCCUCAACAUAUUAGUCACAAUUUCAGUGAUCACAAUCCGCCCUGACUCCUUUGAAAUUGCAUCAAACGCCUUAACUACAAACAUGAACGGCACUCUCUGACCAUCUCCCCAAUACACAGCCUUUCUUGGAUCAAAGUUCGCAGCUUUUUUCUUUAUUUCCACAAUGCUCUCAUCUGGACUAAUCAUUUUCCGUUUCUUCACCACACACUCCUCACUUUUCGACUCAUUGACCAAAUGGGUGUCCUCAAUUGGCUUCAAAGUUGAGUCUUGACUCCGUUUCUUCACCUCCAACUCCUCACUUUUCGACUCAUUGACCAAAUGGGUGUCCUCAAUUGGCUUCAAAGUUGAGUCUUGACUCCGUUUCUUCACCUCCA